rnacentral:rRNA from 1 species
AAACCAACAGGGAUUGCCUCAGUAGCGGCGAGUGAAGCGGCAAGAGCUCAGAUUUGAAAUCGCAGCACCAUGCUGCGAGUUGUAGAUUGCAGGUGGGAGAGUCUGCGUAGGCCGGUGUCGAAGUCCCUUGGAACAGGGCGCCACUGAGGGUGAGAGCCCCGUGCGAUGCCACGCUCUACGUUUUGUACUCCCCUCUGACGAGUCGAGUUGUUUGGGAAUGCAGCUCUAAGUGGGUGGUAAAUUCCAUCUAAGGCUAAAUACUGGCGAGAGACCGAUAGCGAACAAGUACUGUGAAGGAAAGAUGAAAAGCACUUUGAAAAGAGAGUGAAACAGCACGUGAAAUUGUUGAAAGGGAAGGGUAUUGGGCCCGACAUGGGAAUCGCGCACCGCUGCUCCUUGUGGGCGGCGCUCUGGGCUUUUCCUGGGCCAGCAUCGGUUCUUGCUGCAGGAGAAG